rnacentral:tRNA from 1 species
GGUGAUUUGGCCGAGUGGUUAGGCACAGGUCUGCAAAACCUGCUACGGCAGUUCGAUUCUGCCAGUCACCUCCA